UACAGGGGGGGCAAGCGUUGUUCGGAAUUACUGGGCGUAAAGGGUUCGUAGGUGGCUUACUAAGUCAAACGUGAAAUCCCUCAGCUUAACUGGGGAACUGCGUCUGAUACUGGAAAGCUUGAGUGCAGGAGAGGAACGCGGAAUUCCAGGUGUAGCGGUGAAAUGCGUAGAUAUCUGGAGGAACACCGGUGGCGAAGGCGGCGUUCUGGACUGCAACUGACACUGAUGAACGAAAGCCAGGGAGCAAACGGG
rnacentral:rRNA from 1 species